CCUCUCGCUUGCCAGAAGGAAGGCAGGCGGAGAGAGCGAGCGAGCGAGAGCGCGAGCCAGAGGGAGGGAUCGACUGCCCGCCUGGGCUUCUCGCAGCGCCCGGAUCCCGAGUCCCCCCGGGCCAGACCACGCUGGCCGAAGGCAGGCCCGGUCGCCGCCCUGUCCAGGAGAACGGCGACUCCCGAGGCCGAAAACCUUGGGCGACUCCACCGGCCUUGAGGCCUCCAGGACGGCUUCUCUAAGCCCCGACGGACUUUCCACCCCCCUACCCCCCGUCGGCUUUCGCUCAGUUUUUCGAGGGGUUGGAGCAGCACUGUGGGUCGGGAGCAAAGCCAAAGGCAACGAAGGCGCUCUCCAGGAUUCGCAGAGGCUACGGGAGAGAACGGCAGGCCGAGGAGUCACACUCGCGGGGUGCAACGGUCGCCUGGAUCCGUGACCGAAGACCGCAGACCCUCCAAUCCCAGACAGCGCCUCGCGGGAUUCGAAGGCCCGUCCGCGCCCCUCUAGCCGACUCCACUGCGGCGGCCACUCUACCUGGGGCCCGGGAGAGAAGCGAGACGGUCGAGGGCUUCCUCUUGGCCAGGCCGCCUGAGGUCUGGCUCGGCUCCCGAGAUCCCACCCCGCCCUUCGUUGCUGCUACCGGUCAAGCUGAGAAGGGCGGCUGGAGCUCCCUUCCGGCUCCUGAGGAAAGGCGAGGACUCACCCGGCGCGAUCGGAGCGUUGAAAGGAGUUUGGGGCGCAGGAUAGCUGGCUGGGCCCACCUGUCGCUUGGAACCGUUUCAGCGCAGACGCCGCUCUCUUCGUGCGCACUGAGGCCGGAAUGGAGUUCACGAGCGCCGCGUCCCCCUCUCUGCUCCCUAGGCCGGAGACGCGCCGCUUUCUUCCUCUUCAAAAUUAGCUCCAUUUCCCUUUGCCUUCCGGAGUGAGGUUCGAGCCUCUCGCUGCGCAGGAGUCGACUCCAGAGCCCGGACGGUUUAGGCGGCCCCAACAGAAAGGCCGUUCCUGAGACGCCUCGGGCCACCGAGCUGUCCUUCGACCUUGCACGUUUUCCGAGGAGCUCCGGUCCCGGCGGGCGCUGAGCUGAACUCCCGUCGGCCUCCAAAGGGGCUCCCAUCAUUUCCAGCAGGGGAGCAAAAGGAGGCGCCUCCGCGCUCGUGAACGGCGAAGGGAAACCCGCAGCGUCGCCGUGAAGCGGCCCGGCGGUCGCCGAGACUGAACAACAACCUGGCGGGCCCGGCGGCUGCUCCCCACGCUUUCCUCCUGGGGGCCUUCACCUCAGCCUUCAACGCUCCCUUCCGCCCGUGGGAAGAGCCCUGGACGCGUGUCGGUUGAGCCGGGAGCUGGAGCUGGCGGGGCUUUGGC
rnacentral:lncRNA from 1 species